GCUGGGUGUGGUGGUGCACCCCUGUAAUUCCAGAAGCUUGGGAGGCUGAGGCAGGAGGAUUGUAAGUUGAAAACCAGCCUCACCUUAGCAAUUUAGUGAGGCCCUAAACAACUCAAUGAGACCCUGUCUCUA
rnacentral:sRNA from 1 species